AGGAUUAUAGUUUAAAAAACAUUUGAUUUGCAUUCAAAAAAUAUUAUUUUUA
rnacentral:tRNA from 1 species